rnacentral:snRNA from 1 species
GUGCUCGCUUCGGGAGCACAUAUACAAAAAUUGGAAUGAUACAGAGAAGAUUAGCACGGCCCCUGCACAAGGGUGACACACAAAUUCGUGAAGCAUUCUAUAUUUUU